AGGUGACCUUUUGAACGAGUGAAGCCGGAAAUCACGGGUAAAAAUCACAUGGGCCUGUGUACAGAGCGCGCGUCUCAGGAGAGACUCCAGUUUUCGUCAGACGGUCAAGGGAGCAGUGACCACCCCCCACCCCCCAAGCAGUAAGAACAAGUCACCUGAGGCCGAUCUUCUGCCCGGGCCACCGGCCCCACCCCAGAAGCCGCCACAGGAAACUUUCAAGCGCUAAUUCGAAAAAGAAAUGUUUACAGGACUUCCGCCAAGUCAAAGAAAAGGACUGCUCGGUGCCCCGCUCCUCACCCCGACCCACCCCACGACACAGCCGCCACGGCCGCCCCACACGUCCAGCCCAGGUCCACGGCCUUCCCUCCGGCCACCAUGGCCUCCCUCGCCCCGCUGGUCCCCGUGGCCCCAGAAGUGCCCACGUCCCUCACUGCCCGUCGGCCAGGGCCCUCGCUGUGGGCACCCAAGCACUCGGCCGUCCACCUGAGGAGCGUCCCUCAAGUCCGGGUCCCGCGCCGAGCCCUGCGUGCCUGCGGUCUCUGGUCGUCAAACCCACCGGGUGGGGUGGCAUUUUUAUGAAGUUCACACGGUGACAAUUAUGCUUCCACAGUAAAACUUUAACCAUGCUCUACUCCUCCUCCCCUCCCCCACUGCCCGUUCCAGACGCCAGGACCCCUCCCCGCGCGCUUCACCCCACGGCCAGGGUGGGGGUGCUGCCCCCUCCGCUGCGCCCCUCCUCUCCGGAGCCGGCCCCCUGCGGGACCACCGGCCUCCC
rnacentral:lncRNA from 1 species